rnacentral:lncRNA from 1 species
CCGACAGCAGCUCUGCUCAACCCUCCAUUCCGCUUCCGAGGGAGCCUGCGGCGGCUCCGCGCCCGGCUCCUGGGGAACGGCCGAAGAAGAGCAGAGGCAUCCAGUGAACCGAGAGUUAACACCGGCGGAGAGGCACAUCGCCGAGCUGCACCGGGCCGCCUGCGCGGUGAGACCCGCUCCUGCCUGCCCCGCGGCCUCUGCGCCUGCGCGCGUCCGGCCUCCGGACCCCGAGGCGGGCCCGGGGCCGGAGGUGCUGGGUGCUGCUGGGCCUCUGGCCUGGGCGGGUCGGCCUGGUGCGUCCGCUCAGAAGGUCCUGCGAGAAACCCGGUCACACUUUUGCGUUCCGGAUAGAGAGGUGUCUGCCCUGAGAUUGGUGGCUCAGCCCGUUUUCUGAUCUGUGUCCCAACUAAAGGCUUGUCUCAGGGUUUGUGUGUGUGCGCGCCCUCCAGUGUGUGAGUGUGUUGGGUGGGGAAAAGGGUGUUAAGGAACUGAGGGUAGAAGGACUGAGCAGUUACUGGAAAAGUAUGUUGCACAGGCCUGCCAUCCAUUGACUUUAAUAAUGAAAACAUGAGACAGACGCUUUACAUUUUUGCUCUACGUCCUCUCAACCUUUGCCUCCAGUACAGGAGAGCAAAAGAAAUUAUAGUCAGCCAUGUUUGCAUUUUUCCCUGGGCGUUCUUAAAUAACCCUUUUCUUCUGGUUUAUGGAUUUGACAAUUGCUUGUCACCACCAAUAUCUAACUUUAUCUCCCUUCAGUUUCCUGACACUUUAGAAUACAAUAUUUG